UUGCCGAGCUGGCGCCAUCAACAGGUCUCUGGCUUCCAUGAAGCCAGGACCCCGCUGCUCCUUCUAUCUUCACCACAUCUCCAAGGGGCUGCAGCCUGCCUGCCCCAGGGAUGUGCAUGGCAGAGGAUUCCCAUGGCCCAGGUGGACAAACAGGCUGCUCAUCCUUAGAUGAGGAAACAGGCUCAAGGAGGCCAGGCCACGAGCCCAAACUCACACCCAGAGUGAGAGUUGGAGCUGGGCUUGUUCUGGAAUCACAAGACCUUGGAGGAUGGAAUGACAUUGGUAUCAGUUGACUCAAGUCAGAUGUCCAGUGUCGGAGGCCAGUGGUGCUGGAGAGAAACGGGGUGAGGGGAGUAUGGCCUCACUGACACUGUCCUCGACCCUGACA